GUCCAGACUCCUACGGGAGGCAGCAGUGAGGAAUAUUGGUCAAUGGGCGGGAGCCUGAACCAGCCAAGCCGCGUGAGGGAUGAAGGUACAGAGUAUCGUAAACCUCUUUUGUCAGGGAACAAAGGCGGGGACGCGUCCCCGGAUGAGUGUACCUGAAGAAAAAGCAUCGGCUAACUCCGUGCCAGCAGCCGCGGUAAUACGGAGGAUGCGAGCGUUAUCCGGAUUUAUUGGGUUUAAAGGGUGCGCAGGCGGUCUGUUAAGUCAGCGGUUAAAGCCCGGGGCUCAACCCCGGCCCGCUGUUGAAACUGGCGGCCUCGAGUGGGCGAGAAGUAUGCGGAAUGCGUGGUGUAGCGGUGAAAUGCAUAGAUAUCACGCAGAACUCCGAUUGCGAAGGCAGCAUACCGGCGCCCGACUGACGCUGAGGCACGAAAGCGUGGGUAUCGAACAGGAUUAGAUACCCCUGUAUUC
rnacentral:rRNA from 1 species